rnacentral:pre_miRNA from 2 species
GUAGAGAAGAAUCUGUAAAGCUCAGGAGGGAUAGCGCCAUCAUGAUCACACACAUCGAUAUUUUUGGCGCUGUCCAUCCUGAGUUUCAUUGGCUCUUCUUACUAC